GUCGAUUUUUGAAGGCACCAUAUAGGGGCUAAAGCGGAGUAGGCAGGAUGGCGUCUCAGAGCAGCGUGCAUGUCCUGUCCCGCGUGUGGG
rnacentral:SRP_RNA from 11 species